CAGAUUUGAACUCAUCUUCCCAACUCCAGGCCUAGACUCUUAUGCACUGUUUCACUUAUUUUUCUUCAGUACUUUACUCUUAACCUAGACUUCCAUUUAUCACUAAUGUUAGUUUUUUCUACUACAGUUCAGUUUCAGUUGCUAACUUGGAUAUUGUUACUUUAAUCAUUUUACUUAUCCUUUUCAUACUGCAAGCUGCCAUUCUAUAAUCAUAAGAGUUGUUUAUUUUGACUUUUAUAAAGAACCUGUAUUGCUUGUGAGUAUUUUGUCCAAAACUCUGUCAUCUUAUAGAUAGGAAGACUUUUACAACAGUGCAUGUAUUUUCUAUGCUAUGGCCAUGUUAUCUAUAUAUAACCUUAAAAUAUUUUGUUUUUUCUCGUCAGAAAUGAUAAUGGAUUGCUGAAAAAUACAUUAACUGAUUUACCUAGGUUCUAUAUGUGGUUAUAUACUGCCUUCUAAUUCUGCCUCCUAAUGGACUAUUAAUCUUAUAGAGUUUUGGUGAAAAUGUUUGAACUCUGCAGAAAAAUCCCCAUUGCUGGAAAAAACAACUCCCUGUGCAUGCCAAACUGAUGGUAAGUCAGAAGCACUACCUUUCUAUACAAAGGACACCAUUAUUUAUUCAUUUUCACUGCAUUAGUGCCACAGAAAUUAGGACUAAACUUGAGCUGCCUUAAUAUAGUAACAAACCCAUUUGCCUUCUUUUAAUGGAUAUGUUCUUCAGAAUAAAUCUAGAAAUUGGAUGAUAUUUAAAAAACAUAGUUACAAUUUAUUUCCCAAAUAAUUUAAUUUCAUUAUAAUAUCUAGUGAAAUGGGUAUGAGGAAAAGAGGGGAGAAUCUUCUAUAAUUAUAGUUAGCUAUAAUGCUAAUGGGAUUUCUAAAAUGAAACUGAAUCUUUCAAGAGGCAUCUAGGCUUCUUGAAGUGUGAGCUAGUUCUCUUCUGGUCAUAAAAUAUGAGCAUAAAACAAUAUGAAGCAAUUGCAUUGUAGACCUUGGAAGGCCCUUGAAGCUACAUAAUGGAGGCAAAUGUCUAGGUGACCUAUUUAAAAAGGAAACUGGGGGUCACAAGUGGCUUAUUAAGUUUAUAUUUAGCUAAUCACGGAGGUUAAUAUUUAUACUUUGGCAGUAAUAGAACCUGCCAUUUAAAACGCUGGCUCCCAGAUGAACAUAUAAUAACAAUGUAUUGAUUGUCCCUCUGCCAAGACAUGAGUUUAGUCAUCUGGAUUCUUCCUGCUGUGGUUGAAGAACAUUUUAACACCAAGUGAAGAAUAAAGAAAGCAGAUGAAUUAUUUUCUUUAGUUGCUGGUCAUGGAAUUUUAGCUGUGGUUUGUUUAGUUGUUUUAUUUCUUCAUAUGUCACCAUAUCCCCUACCAAAAUCUGUUAUUGUGAUGUAGAGUUGACCACAGACUAUCAAAGACUGUACCAGAACACAAGAAAUUCUGGAAGGUCUUACCAAGCUUCAAAAUCUUUGAAUAUAGAAUCAGCAAAGCAUUAUUAUUUAUAUUUAAAUUCUCAGUUAAUUUUUGGAGGCAUCACCAUUUUUGUUGACUAUUAGCUUAUGGCUAUUUUUGAUAAUUGGAAGUAGUGAAACAAUUUGCCAUACUAUGUAGAGUUCUUGAUUACUAUAGCUGGAAAAAAAAAAUUUAGAGAUCACCUAGUCCUACCUCAUAAUUUUGAAAAAGAAAACAAGUCCAAAGGGUUAUAUGAUUUAUCCAAGGUCACACAAGUAGAAGUUAAGAUAUAAGAUUGAAUCUAGGUUUUUUAAUGCAUGGUACAUUUUCUGUUGCAUUACAGAUUGAUCCAAGAGCACCACUUGUUAAGAUCACAAUAGGGACUCUUCUUAAGCCGUUGUUUGGCCUAGGUACCCCCUGAGGUUCCUUUGAACUCUGAGAUUCUUUGAUACUAUGACCUUGACAAGUCCUCUGACUCUGGAUCUAGUGUUCUUUCUAUCACUUGAUAUUACUGUACUAUAGACAAUGUGAUUAGCAUCGUGGAAAGGGAUUUCCAUGUUUAUGAAAUCAGAUACUUUAAAGUUUGGAGGAAUUAAAGAAACUACUACAUAUAUAAUGAAGUCAUCAUUUUAAUGAACCUCAGAGGUCAUCAACUCCAGAUUUUAUCACUAUAAGUUAUACUGUUUUAAUCAAGAAGCUAAAAUGAAUCUAGAUAAUCUAAAAAAUACCACAGAACCUUAGA